rnacentral:snRNA from 1 species
CAAACUGAAGAUCACCAU